rnacentral:rRNA from 1 species
GAUGAACGCUAGCGGGAGGCUUAACACAUGCAAGUCGAGGGGCAGCACGUCUUCGGAUGGUGGCGACCGGCGCACGGGUGAGUAACGCGUAUGCAACCUUCCUUUAACUGGGGGAUAGCCCGGAGAAAUUCGGAUUAAUACCCCAUAACAUCAUAGAAAGGCAUCUUUCAGUGAUUAAAGCUCCGGCGGUUAAAGAUGGGCAUGCGUACCAUUAGCUAGUUGGUGAGGUAACGGCUCACCAAGGCUACGAUGGUUAGGGGGUCUGAGAGGAUGAUCCCCCACACUGGUACUGAGACACGGACCAGACUCCUACGGGAGGCAG